rnacentral:rRNA from 1 species
AACGAACGCUGGCGGCAGGCCUAACACAUGCAAGUCGAGCGAGGGAGCAAUCUCUAGCGGCGGACGGGUGAGUAACGCGUGGGAACGUGCCCCUUGGUACGGAAUAGCCCCGGGAAACUGGGAGUAAUACCGUAUAAGCUCUACGGAGGAAAGAUUUAUCGCCAAGGGAUCGGCCCGCGUUGGAUUAGGUAGUUGGUGGGGUAAUGGCCUACCAAGCCGACGAUCCAUAGCUGGUUUGAGAGGAUGAUCAGCCACACUGGGACUGAGACACGGCCCAGACUCCUACGGGAGGCAGCAGUGGGGAAUCUUAGACAAUGGGGGAAACCCUGAUCUAGCCAUGCCGCGUGAUCGAUGAAGGCCUUAGGGUUGUAAAGAUCUUUCAGUGGGGAAGAUAAUGACUGUACCCACAGAAGAAGCCCCGGCUAACUCCGUG